UACGAGUGCCCCAAGCGUUAUCCGGAAUCAUUGGGCGUAAAGGGUGUGUAGGCGGUUGUAUUAGUCUUUUGUUAAAGCUCCCGGCUCAACCGGGAAAGUGCAAAAGAAACGGUACAACUAGAGGAUGCGAGAGGUGAACGGAACUCAUAGUGUAGGGGUGAAAUCCGAUUGAUAUUAUGGGGAACACCAAAUGCGAAGGCAGUUCACUGGCGCACUCCUGACGCUGAAACACGAAAAGCGUGGGUAGCGAAUGGG
rnacentral:rRNA from 1 species